rnacentral:misc_RNA from 1 species
AAGUCGUAACAAGGUUUCCGUAGGUGAACCUGCGGAAGGAUCAUUAUCCUUUAGCUUGUGCGAGUGUCACUUAUUGCACUUGUACUCACGAGCUCAUAACGCUCUUAUUGCGCGGCAGCUGCAUUCUCUAUAGAGGCAGCUACCAAAACAAAUCCACGGUAGGCUCUUUGCUACUGUGGUCAGGUACCUAGAAGCGGCUGUGCUCUUUUACUAGAGUCGGUCGUGUUGGCGUAAAGAUUGCACUCACUCGUAGUGUGACGCCUGUCUAGCUUACAAGUUUUCUCACCAUUUAAAUUACAUUAUUUAGAGUUGUGACUGUGUCGAAUUCUAUGCUAAACAUAGAUGAUUUAACACAUAAACAACCCUAUGCGGUGGAUCACUUGGCUC